ACCUACGGGGGGCAGCAGUGAGGAAUAUUGGUCAAUGGGCGCAAGCCUGAACCAGCCAAGUCGCGUGAGGGAAGACGGCCCUACGGGUUGUAAACCUCUUUUGCCGGGGAGCAAGCCUGAGCACGUGUGCCCAGGCGGAGAGUACCCGGAGAAAAAGCAUCGGCUAACUCCGUGCCAGCAGCCGCGGUAAUACGGAGGAUGCGAGCGUUAUCCGGAUUUAUUGGGUUUAAAGGGUGCGUAGGCGGUCCGUUAAGUCAGCGGUAAAAUUGCGGGGCUCAACCCCGUCGAGCCGUUGAAACUGGCAG
rnacentral:rRNA from 1 species